rnacentral:rRNA from 1 species
GACGAACCGUGCGAAGGUUGUUCGGAAUCACUGGGCUUAAAGGGCGCGUAGGCGGGCUGACAAGUCUGGGGUGAAAUCCCGCGGCUCAACCGUGGAACUGCCUUAGAUACUGUCGGCCUCGAGGAAGGUAGGGGCAUGCGGAACUGUAGGUGGAGCGGUGAAAUGCGUUGAUAUCUACAGGAACUCCGGUGGCGAAAGCGGCGUGCUGGACCUUUUCUGACGCUGAGGCGCGAAAGCUAGGGGAGCAAACGGG